UUUUUUUUUUUUUACUGCGCAGACGGCACACACUGAGAAAGUGAGGAGAGAAAAGUAGACAGAAAAAAAACUAAGUUAUGAUCAUAUAUUAUAAAUAACCGUUUGAAAGAGUGAAACCGAAGGUCGAAACAGUACUACUGCCAGUUUGAGUUUUAUCCAACGUGAAACUUGGGGCGCUGUAUCAUGGCUGACCCUGCACUCUGACCCCAACUUCCUGACAUGCUGAGGGUUUAUCAGGUCCCAGUGAACCACCAGGAGCUAAUUGUCGCCUACUGUAGAUCACUACACUGCACACAGAAAAGACUUCAUAGUGAAUCCACAGUCUUAAUGACUGGCUAUGGUUGAUGAGAGAGUGGCACUGCCAUCCUUUCCUCAUAGAGACAAUAGCUGGUGUAAGUGCACAGGUGAUGCGGGAAAAGACGCAGAACGUUCCUUAUGCAUCAUUUAUCACGCCCAUUUAAAUCCGCAAAUCCACUGAAUGAGAACAGUUGAGUGCCAGUACAGCACACCCGACUAAGCAUUAAUUGUGAUUAUAUUAAACAUUUAUUUCUCUAUGAGGAGAUCUGAUCCUGGAAAGGUGAACAUUUUAAACAAUUUAGUAUAAUGCCAGUCAUCUAGAGGAUUUCAAAAGCCAUGUCUCACUAUGACAAUGAGCAUGUGCUGAUAAUUGGUCAGGAGAAUGAAGGUUCUCCCAGAAAGAAGAAAAUACUGUAUGUAAACUACUAUUUUACCUAGACAUGUAGCUACUUUUGGGUCAUUCCAUCUCAAGUGGUCCAAUUCAGGUCCAAUGACCGUUUUUAAUCUUUUGUUUUUUUUUUGUUUUUUUUUUUGAGUGAUUACCUAUAUUUAUUGGCAU